ensembl:snRNA U6 U6 spliceosomal RNA
GUACUUUCUAUGCAGCACAUAUACUAAAAUUGGAAUGAUACAAAGAUUAGCCUGGCCCCUGCUCUAGGAUGACACAUAAAUUUAUGAAAUAUUUUGUAUUUUU